CUACCACUGAAGUGGAACACAAUUUAGAUUAACCUAUUUGUUGCCUCUCAAACUGUGAUCCACAGAUGGUGUAAUCUGUGGAUUAUGUGUAAGCGUGACAGAGGUAACUAAAAUGGUAAACCUCUUCUCAUUGGGCUGAAAUUUGCUGCAGCAAAUGUAGCACAUGUAGCUUCACUGGAAAGUUUCUAGGCAUCUGAAGCUGAGAUGGAAAAAAAUGCAUUUAGAAUGCAAGAUCAGUGAUGAAGGUGGAAAAAGCUUGCCACUGUAUUUAGCAGAGACAUCCAUCCCUUAUUAUCGUUGUUUUUAAAUAAAGAGAUCAUUUAAGGAAAACAGUCAUCUUGAGAGAAAAAAUUCUUCAGGGCAGCUUGUGCACUUUUGUCCCAGUGCUUUUCAGUUGGAAGCAACCAAAACUGAACCUGAGAUCUGAAGAUUCAGUUCUUAUUUUCAUGUUGUGUGCAUUUGUUUAUUUGCAUUCUGAAAUGCUUCUAGGUGUGGCUUUGCUUGUUUACAGAGGUUUGGUGGCCUGCCUUUUUUGUUUGGCACAACGUAGGGUGAGAAAACAGUGGUCAAGGUACAGCCAAAACUGAUGGCCCAGCUACCGCUUUCACAUCCUGUGCCUCACCUAUGGAAGACCAAAGAUCCCCAAGGAAACAAAGAGCCGUGUGAUGUUCUGUAAAUCUCAGAUUGCUGUACUGCGAAGCCUACAGCUUCUUGAUGUCCUAGGAGCCACUCCAUCACAUUUGGAUGCCAUCUUGACUCUCCAGCUCCUUCAUGUGUGCAACAGUUUGGAAUGAUGAAGCAGAGAGGUAUGCUGGCAGGAGGUGGCAGAAGAAGCAACAAAAGUAGAUGGAAUCAUAUGACCAAGAAAACAAGCUGAUGAAGUCGUAGAAAUUGAUCAAUUGUUGGCACUGAAGAUCUGCAGAGCCAUUUACUUUCAGUCUUUUCUCAUUCAUUGAAUGAAUCUUCAACAAACCAAUUAAAUUCAUUCAGCGAAAGAUGGCAAGGUAAAUGGAAGAUUGGUGCUGCUUCUGAAGAUGCCAACCUGAGGAGCCAUGGUUACACAGCCCUGAGCACAUAACGUUCCC
rnacentral:lncRNA from 1 species